GAUGAACGCUGGCGGCGUGCUUAACACAUGCAAGUCGAACGAAGACAUCUGAGUGCUUGCACUUGGAUGGACUGAGUGGCGGACGGGUGAGUAACGCGUGGGUAACCUGCCUUAUACAGGGGGAUAACAGUUGGAAACGACUGCUAAUACCGCAUAAGCGCACGGUAUCGCAUGAUACAGUGUGAAAAACUCCGGUGGUAUAAGAUGGACCCGCGUCUGAUUAGCUUGUUGGUGAGGUAACGGCCCACCAAGGCGACGAUCAGUAGCCGGCCUGAGAGGGUGAACGGCCACAUUGGGACUGAGACACGGCCCAAAACUCCUACGGGAGGCAGCAGUGGGGAAUAUUGCACAAUGGGGGAAACCCUGAUGCAGCGACGCCGCGUGAGUGAAGAAGUAUUUCGGUAUGUAAAGCUCUAUCAGCAGGGAAGAAAAUGACGGUACCUGACUAAGAAGCCCCGGCUAAACUACGUG
rnacentral:rRNA from 1 species